AAAUUGAAGAGUUUGAUCAUGGCUCAGAUUGAACGCUGGCGGCAGGCCUAACACAUGCAAGUCGAACGGUAACAGGAAUCAGCUUGCUGAUUUGCUGACGAGUGGCGGACGGGUGAGUAAUGUCUGGGAAGCUGCCUGAUGGAGGGGGAUAACUACUGGAAACGGUAGCUAAUACCGCAUAACGUCGCAAGACCAAAGAGGGGGACCUUCGGGCCUCUUGCCAUCGGAUGUGCCCAGAUGGGAUUAGCUAGUAGGUGGGGUAACGGCUCACCUAGGCGACG
rnacentral:rRNA from 1 species